GAUAAAAUGGAAAACACACAUAAGGCAUUUCUGCUGAAUAAUGAAGGGUGUUGGUUUUCUUGAGGAAAAAUGCUUGGCAAUUGAAUAGUGAGCCAAACUAGCCUUUCAUUCCCCAUGGAACAUCAUUAUUCUUUGACACUCUAAAGAAUGGAAGACAAACUAUAGUUAUUUAGAGUUGGAUAUCUGACAGGUAUUUUCUCAAAAUGAACAAAGUGAGCUUGUCCCCUCUAGUAAAACAACUGACAAUGUCAGUUGCCAAUGAUAAAAUUUUAGCUUUCAAGAAAGAAUUAGGAUUAUAGAAAGCCCAUGUCCAUCACAGUGAGCUUGACAGCUUCCUUAUAGAAAUUAUUCUGAUGAGAUUGGUGGCAGUAUAUUAAUAAUGUGAUUUUUUUGCAUGUGUAAUAAACUGUGUUGAAAUUUGGAAGAUCUACGUAACUCAGUGAGUCAGUAUUUUCCAAAUGUUACAAAAGCAUGCGUGCGUAAAAGAACCACUGAAAGUGCAAAAUAGAUGAAUGGACUUCAUGUAAGAGCAUUUAAAAAGUUCAUUGAAAACGUUCCAGAUUCCACAUUAAAAUUAACUUAAAGAAAUUAGCCCUUAGUGAGUUUGGGUGUACUACCAAAGAAUGUGCGCACCUAUCUUUAAAAACUAUUAAAAUACUCCUCCCUCCUACAGAGGCUGAUUUUUCUUCAUAGGCUUCUACCAAAACAAGACAUUACAAGAGACAAUGUAGGAGCAGAGUAGAUAGGAGAAUCCAGCUGUUUUUAUCAAGACAGACAUUAAGGAGAUUUGUAAAAUGUAAAUGACAUCACUCUCAUUAAAUAUUUUCGGUUUUGGAAAAUAGUUAUUUGUCGUAAUUUACAUUAAUAUGUAAUACAUUAUUAUUGUCACUCUUAAAUAUUUUUAAAAUUUCUCGGUGUUACUUUAUAAUAUGGUAAAUACUGAUAGCCCACCUUUUAUUUUUUUUAAGAAAAAUUCAGAAUCCUCAAUUUGUAAGGGGGUCAGUGGGUUUUGAGACCAAAAUGUUCAGAGAGCCUGGAUAAAACUUGAGAGAAUUCAGCAGUGGCUCCAAAGAAAAUGAGACGUUUUUCUUCUCUUUGCUGAAGGCCAGGUUCACAGUGCAAGUGACGAAGGGAAUUCGAAAAUUAAACUGAAGGAAAGAGGCUGAUAUUUAGGGAGGCUCCUCUGUGCCAUAGGACAUCUUCUCUCAUGCCCUCCUCAGAACUGUCCCGUGAGGUAACAGUGAUUCGGUCCCGUGUUGACAGAAGGAGGUUCAGAAGGGUUGGUUAGGGAACAGCUACUAUAAGUGGGGGGCGGAGCCACAGACCUGCCAGCACUUCCCAUCACACCAAUACAUCCGACAAUCACCGGAGAUGUUUAGGUCCAAAAUACCUUCAGCUAAAAUAUCAGCGCAACUGAGGUAAAACAUGGCUUUGGUGCAUCUGAAUUAUCCCAGUGACCGCCUUGGUGUGCCACCUCCCCGGGGUUGGCAAAGACAAUGGCAUCACAGAAUAGUCACCAGAUUUCCUGCAAAACGCUGUAAACCAGAUGGGCCUCUCUUGAAACUUCUUGGAGUCGUUCUUCUUCCCAAGGAAAAAGGUUGGUCAUCUUUGCCAAAUUCCACAUGUAACAGUUUUGAGUUGUCUGAACCCUGCACAUCUCAACAGUUGGUAGUCUGAAGUAUUCCAGCAGCUGAAGAUCCACCAUGAGUUCAGUCCUUUAAUUCUUCUAAACAUAUUUAGCAUUCCCCGAAGAAUUCUGCCUUCUCUUUUCCUCCACAAAUAAAUAUUAUCUACUUUCAGGCAA